rnacentral:rRNA from 1 species
AAGUAUACUUGCUGACGUCUGGCAUUCAUCGUUUACGGUGUGGACUACCAGGGUAUCUAAUCCUAUUUGCUCCCCACACUUUCGCACCUCAGCGUCAGUAUCGAGCCAGUAAGCCGCCUUCGCCACUGGUGUUCCUCCAAAUAUCUACGAAUUUCACCUCUACACUUGGAAUUCCACUUACCUCUCUCGAACUCAAGACUAGCAGUAUUAAAGGCAGUUCCAGGGUUGAGCCCUGGGAUUUCACCUCUAACUUACUAAUCCGCCUACGUGCGCUUUACGCCCAGUAAUUCCGAACAACGCUAACCCCCUCCGUAUUACCGCGGCUGCUGGCACGGAGUUAGCCGGGGUUUCUUUACCAGAUACUGUCAUUAUCAUCUCUGGCGAAAGUGCUUUACGACCCUAAGGCCUUCAUCACACACGCGGCAUGGCUAGAUCAGGGUUUCCCCCAUUGUCUAAGAUUCCCUACUGCUGCCUCCCGUAGGAGUCUGGGCCGUGUCUCAGUCCCAGUGUGGCUGAUCAUCCUCUCAAACCAGCUAUAGAUCGUAGGCUUGGUAGGCCAUUACCCCACCAACUACCUAAUCUAACGCGGGCUAAUCCUUCUCCGAUAAAUCUUUCCCCCGAAGGGCGUAUAAGGUAUUACUCUCCGUUUCCAGAGGCUAUUCCUUAGAGAAGGGCAUAUUCCCACGCGUUACUCACCCGUCCGCCGCUCAUCCCGAGGGAUGCGCUCGACUUGCAUGUAUUAGGCCUGCCGCCAGCGUUCGUUCUGAGCCAGGAUCAAACUCU